CUCGGUGAUGCAUUGGCUUGUAGCCAGUGCAGUGCCGCAGGGAAGCCGUUAAGUCUGCCGCCUGGGAAGUACGUACGCAAGUAUGAAACUUAAAGGAAUUGGCGGGGGAGCACCACAAGGGGUGAAGCCUGCGGUUCAAUUGGAGUCAACGCCAGAAAUCUUACCCGGAGAGACAGCAGAAUGAAGGUCAAGCUGAAGACUUUACCAGACAAGCUGAGAGGUGGUGCAUGGCCGUCGUCAGCUCGUGCCGUGAGAUGUCCUGUUAAGUCAGGUAACGAGCGAGAUCCUUGCCUCUAGUUGCCACCAUUACUCUCAGGAGUAGUGGGGCGAAUUAGCGGGACCGCCGCAGUUAAUGCGGAGGAAGGAAAGGGCCACGGCAGGUCAGUAUGCCCCGAAACUCUGGGGCCACACGCGGGCUGCAAUGGUAAUGACAGUGGGUUUCGAAUCCGAAAGGAGGAGGUAAUCCUCAAACGUUACCACAGUUAUGACUGAGGGCUGCAACUCGCCCUCACGAAUAUGGAAUCCCUAGUAACUGCGUGUCAUUAUCGCGCGGUGAAUACGUCCCUGCUCCUUGCACACACCGCCCGUCGUUUCAUUGAAGUUUGCUUUUAGCGAGGUGACGUUUAAUUUGGCGUUAUCGAACUUGA
rnacentral:rRNA from 1 species